rnacentral:sRNA from 1 species
AGCUACGUAAUCCGACUGACGACUGC